rnacentral:lncRNA from 1 species
CACCUAAAGCAAUUACGCGUUUUUAACUUUGCGAGUCCAUGGAAAUUUGCUAAAUAACAUGCCUCGGUUUCUAAGGAUUAAAAAUAACUCAAUGAGGGCCGUGCGUUUUGGGAUUUUAUUUAGCAUGACACGCCUCAAAUUAUUCCAAAAGAUUAUACUCAACUAAAGCUAUUAAAGGUCCGCCACUUCUCAAUUCAACAAUUACUAAUGUUCAUCCAAAAUCCAAUUGUAGCUUUACUUUCCCUAGAAGAUCAAGCAUAAAAAGACUUCUUAAAGAAAAAAUUCUUUUGGCCCAGAAAACUCAAAUCGUUAUUUUUCAAAUAUCACUUCUUUUGUCAUCAAAUAUUUUUUACCUUCUUUUCAAGUUGUUACACAAACAGAAGAAAAUUAAUUAUUCAAAAUCUCAUGUCCAACCUCAGAUAACUAAUUGUGAGCUCAUUUACCAAAUUAACUUGUUUUAAGAUACAAAUUCUACACAUAAAAAUUUCAAACAGAGGAAGAAACACCUUCACCAAAUGUUGAAUCACUAAUAGGAUAAUACAAAAAUAAGGGUAAUUAAGGAAUCAGACCUUUAGUGAACUCAAAAACGUUUCUCCAAUUGAUUGAAUACAGAAAGCUCAUUGAAUAGAGUUGUACAAAGAGACAAAUGCCGAACAAAAGCUUCGAGCUGAUGCAUCCAACAAACCGGACAAAGCGGCAGCAAAAAUUAGCAUUGAGCAAGCUCAAACAACAGGAACCUUCAGCCGAAGAUAUCCAACAAACAGGACAAAGCGGCGGCAAAAAUUAGCAUCGAGCAAGCUCAAACAACAGGAACCUUCAGCCGAAGAGACUCCUACGUCGACCUCGGCGAACCCGGAACUCGCCGGCACCGGAAAGCUCGAACUUAAACGACUUCAACAAAAACCCACCUUCUCUGAUUGACGACUAGCAGUCAAUUAACCCAGUCAAUUCGCCAAGAGUGCUUGACAUUUUUUUUUAUUUCCUUAACUGAUCACUAAAAUAGGAAAGCUUAACGUCUAGAUGAACUUUGGUUGUUUCUGAAUAUUGAGUUAGAAUACAACAAGCCUGGUGAGAUCGGAAAUCGAAAUCGAGAAGUAAAAAUCAAAUCUGACUUCCCGAGAUUUUUAAAAUCGAAAUGCUAAAACACCACAGCCAAAGUAAAAACCAUUUCCUGAUUUUGUCGCCAACAGUGCUUUGUAGGUCUCUUAGCUGAUUUUCAUUUUUGAGAAGAUAGGUCCUUUAUUUUGGUUUUCUUUUUUCUUUGAUCUCUUCUGAGAAGUGGGGGAUCAGUGAUUCUUUGUGUGCGUCUUUUUUUCGUUGGAAAGAGAAUGGUUUUUAUAGCGUGUGUGGAAUAAGGUGUUAUGUGGGAGAAUUUUAUUUGGAAAGAAGAUGUUAUGUGAGAUAAUAUUUUGGGGGAGG